AUGACUGUGAAGUCCUAAUUUCAGUGAUCUCGAAUUUCCCUACUGCUGGGUGAUAAUUUUGUCCCUCAAAGUUACUGCCUAGAUGCCAGGAGUAUGUUGUCUUGUGGCUAGUUCUGUGGCUUUGAGGAUGCAGUAAGGUAUCUGCAGCACCUGAUCAGCUGGUUUAAGCUCCUGCAAACUGAAUCUGUACUGAGGGAGGGGAGGGACAGCAUCAAAGAAUGAAUAAAGAUUUCAUUUUACAUCCUUCUGAAACAAGCACCAACCACCUAACAAAACACCCACGCAAUGAAAACCGCACACUUUGUAGAUUUGCUGUUUCCCAAACAAGGCAAGAGGGAAGAAGGAGAGAAGGAAAGGAAGAAGUCAGCCUGAGCUCUGCCAGCACUGUCAGAGGUGGGACAGCAAGAGCUGAGAUUUGUCUCUGCUGGAGACCAGAGGCACUUACAAUCUCCUGAGGCUGGAAAAGAACUUCUGGGACUACUCCUCUGGUCAGAGGUGAACAAAACGAGCUGGAGUUUUCUGUCAAGUGAAAUGUCAUAAUCACCACAGCCACCAUUGUUUGGCGAAUCGGCAACUAAGCCAGCUGGUAAUUUAUAGCUCAGUGCCUUUACCUAAUGCCUUUAUGUAUUUCUACUUAUUUUCUGAUCAAAAGUUCAUUGUUUACAUUAUAAAAUGUAGUAAACUGCAUGUCGGAUUAGUUUCUCUAAAUAUUUUAGGUACAUUUCAUAAAAACAUGUAAUUAGUUUGUUAGUGUUAAUAAAACCCUGAAAAGCUAGAAGUCA
rnacentral:lncRNA from 1 species